rnacentral:rRNA from 1 species
UACGUAGGCAGCAAGCGUUGUUCGGAGUUACUGGGCGUAAAGAGUGCGUAGGCGGUGUCGAAAGUUUGGCGUGAAAUCUCCCGCUUAACUGGGAGGGUGCGCCGAAAACUGCGGUGCUGGAGUGUGGGAAAGGCAAGCGGAAUUCCUGGUGUAGCGGUGAAAUGCGUAGAUAUCAGGAGGAACACCGGCGGUGUAGACGGCUUGCUAGACCAUAACUGACGCUGAGGCACGAAAGCGUGGGUAGCAAACAGG